AUUGAACGCUGGCGGCAGGCCUAACACAUGCAAGUCGAGCGGAACGGGGGAAGGGUGAGGAAGGCCGAGGUAUCAGCCAGGUAGUGGGGGAUAACGUAAGGAACGGGGAGACAAAACCACAUACUAUAAGAAGAGGCUAGGUCGGAUUAGCAAUGUGGUGGGGUAAAGGACUACCAAGGCGACGAUCCGUAACUGGUCUGAUAGGAUGAUCAGUCACACUGGAACUGGGACACGGUCCGGACUCCUACGGUAGGCAGCAGUGGGGAAUAUUGGACAAUGGGCGAAAGCCUGAUGCAGCCAUGCCGCGUGUGUGAAGAAGGUCUUCGGAUUGUAAAGUCCUUUCAGUUGGGAGGCGUUACCAACAGAAGAAGCACCGGCUAACUUCGUGCCAGCAGCCGCGGUAAUUC
rnacentral:rRNA from 1 species